rnacentral:rRNA from 1 species
GAUGAACGCUGGCGGCGUGCCUAAUACAUGAAAGUCGAGCGAACGGACGAGAAGCUUGCUUUUCUGAUGUUAGCGGCGGACGGGUGAGUAACACGUGGAUACCCUACCUAUAAGCCUGGGAUAACUUCGGGAAACCGGAGCUAAUACCGGAUAAUAUUUUGAACCGCAUGGUUCAAAAUUGAAAGACGGUCUUGCUGUCACUUAUAGAUGGAUCCGCGAUGCAUUAGCUAGUUGGUAAGGUAACGGCUUACCAAGGCAACGAUGCAUAGCCGACCUGAGAGGGUGAUCGGCAACACUAGAACUGAGACACGGUCCAGAAUCCUACGGGAGGCAGCAGUAGGGAAUCUUCCGCAAUGGGCGAAAGCCUGACGGAGAAACGCCGCGUGAGUGAUGAAGGUCUUCGGAUCGUAAAACUCUGUUAUUAGGGAAAAACAUAUGUGUAAGUAACUGUGCACAUCUUGACGGUACCUAAUCAGAAAGCCACGGCUAACUACGUG